CCCUUAGAUGUCCUGGGCUGCACGCGCGCUACACUGGAAGUUACGGAUUGAGAUACUACCUUGUCCGAAAUGGUCCGGGUAAUCACCUAAAAGCUUGUCAUAAUUGGAAUGGAUUAUUGUAACUAGUAAACCUGAACGAGGAAUUCCUAGUAAGUCCCAGUCAACAGCUGGUACUGAUUACGUCCCUGCCCUUUGUACACACCGCCCGUCGCUACUACUGAUUGGACGUUUAAGCAAGAUUUUUAAACACUGACAGUGUGUAGUUCACGCUAUACUACAGUGAGAAGAAGAAGAUCGAGCUUACUUGUCUAGAGGAAGUAAAAGUCGUAACA
rnacentral:rRNA from 1 species